rnacentral:rRNA from 1 species
GUGGGGAAUCUUCCGCAAUGGGCGCAAGCCUGACGGAGCAACGCCGCGUGAGUGAGGAAGUUCUUCGGAACGUAAAGCUCUGUUGUUCCUGACGAACCUCCCUUCUAUCAACAACGGAAGGGACUGACGGUAGGGAACGAGGAAGCCACGGCUAACUACGUGCCAGCAGCCGCGGUAAUACGUAGGUGGCAAGCGUUGUCCGGAAUUAUUGGGCGUAAAGCGCAUGUAGGCGGUAAUUUAAGUCUGUCGUGAAACUGCGGGGCUCAGCCCCGUAUGGCGAUGGAAACUGGGUUACUUGAGUGCAGGAGAGGAAAGGGGAACUCCCAGUGUAGCGGUGAAAUGCGUAGAUAUUGGGAAGAACACCGGUGGCGAAGGCGCCUUUCUGGACUGUGUCUGACGCUGAGAUGCGAAAGCCAGGGUAGCGAACGGGAUUAGAUACCCUAGUAGUCC